GGAGUUAGCCGGUGCUUCUUCUGUGAGUGAUGUCCUUCCUGCCGGCUAUUAACCCGCAGGCCUUCUUCCUCAACUGAAAGUGCUUUACAACCCGAAGGCCUUCUUCACACACGCGGCAUGGCUGGAUCAGGGUUGCCCCCAUUGUACCAAUAUUCCCCACUGCUGCCUCCCGUAGGAGUCUGGGCCGUGUCUCAGUCCCAGUGUGGCUGAUCAUCCUCUCAGACCAGCUACGGAUCGUCGCCUUGGUGAGCCGUUACCUCACCAACCAGCUAAUCCGACAUAGGCUCAUCCGAUAGCGCGAGGCCCGAAGGUCCCCCGCUUUCCCCCGUAGGGCGUAUGCGGUAUUAGCCUGGGUUUCCCCAGGUUAUCCCCCACUACCCGGGCAGAUUCCUAUGCAUUACUCACCCGUCCGCCGCUCGCCACCAGGGAGCAAGCUCCCCGUGCUGCCGCUCGACUUGCAUGUGUUAGGCCUGCCGCCAGCGUUCAAUCUGAGCCAGAAUCGAACCCUGA
rnacentral:rRNA from 1 species